AUUGAACGCUGGCGGCAGGCUUAACACAUGCAAGUCGAGCGGGGAAAGGUAGCUUGCUACCUGACCUAGCGGCGGACGGGUGAGUAAUGCUUAGGAAUCUGCCUAUUAGUGGGGGACAACAUUCCGAAAGGAAUGCUAAUACCGCAUACGCCCUACGGGGGAAAGCAGGGGAUCUUCGGACCUUGCGCUAAUAGAUGAGCCUAAGUCAGAUUAGCUAGUUGGUGGGGUAAAGGCCUACCAAGGCGACGAUCUGUAGCGGGUCUGAGAGGAUGAUCCGCCACACUGGGACUGAGACACGGCCCAGACUCCUACGGGAGGCAGCAGUGGGGAAUAUUGGACAAUGGGCGAAAGCCUGAUCCAGCCAUGCCGCGUGUGUGAAGAAGGCCUUUUGGUUGUAAAGCACUUUAAGCGAGGAGGAGGCUACCGAGAUUAAUACUCUUGGAUAGUGGACGUUACUCGCAGAAUAAGCACCGGCUAACUCUGUGCCAGCCGCCGCGGUAA
rnacentral:rRNA from 1 species